rnacentral:sRNA from 15 species
UCAAGAAGUGUUAGAUGUUGCUGAUCGCCAAGAUAACGAUAAACGCCGUACACCUAAUGGCAGAGCACAAGAAACAAUUAAUGUCAAUCUGCGCGCAUAAGCAGAACUUGUGACUAAUUGAAGUAUUAAGAAGUAGGGAGCAUGUGAGCAAUGAAAUUACCAAUUUAUUUAGACUACUC